rnacentral:rRNA from 1 species
GACGAACGCUGGCGGCGUGCCUAAUACAUGCAAGUAGAACGCUGAAUGAGGAGCUUGCUUCUCUGGAUGAGUUGCGAACGGGUGAGUAACGCGUAGGUAACCUGCCUGGUAGCGGGGGAUAACUAUUGGAAACGAUAGCUAAUACCGCAUAAUAGUAGAUGUUGCAUGACAUUUGCUUAAAAGGUGCAAUUGCAUCACUACCAGAUGGACCUGCGUUGUAUUAGCUAGUUGGUGAGGUAACGGCUCACCAAGGCAACGAUACAUAGCCGACCUGAGAGGGUGAUCGGCCACACUGGGACUGAGACACGGCCCAGACUCCUACGGGAGGCAGCAGUAGGGAAUCUUCGGCAAUGGACGGAAGUCUGACCGAGCAACGCCGCGUGAGUGAAGAAGGGUUUCGGAUCGUAAAGCUCUGUUGUAAGAGAAGAACGAGUGUGAGAGUGGAAAGUUCACACUGUGACGGUAUCUUACCAGAAAGGGACGGCUAACUACGUG